rnacentral:rRNA from 1 species
CACGUAGGGGGCGAGCGUUGUCCGGAUUUAUUGGGCGUAAAGAGCUCGUAGGCGGCUUUGUCAGUCGGGUGUGAAACCUCCAGGCUCAACCUGGGGACGCCACCCGAUACUGCCGUGGCUAGAGUCCGGUAGGGGAGCGUGGAAUUCCUGGUGUAGCGGUGAAAUGCGCAGAUAUCAGGAGGAACACCAGCGGCGAAGGCGGCGCUCUGGGCCGGAACUGACGCUGAGGAGCGAAAGCGUGGGUAGCAAACAGG